UCGUCGGUGCUCGAGUGGCGAACGGGUGAGUAACACGUGGGUGAUCUGCCCUGCACUUUGGGAUAAGCCUGGGAAACUGGGUCUAAUACCGAAUAUGAUCAUUGGCUUCAUGGCUGGUGGUGGAAAGCUUUUGCGGUGUGGGAUGGGCCCGCGGCCUAUCAGCUUGUUGGUGGGGUAAUGGCCUACCAAGGCGACGACGGGUAGCCGGCCUGAGAGGGUGACCGGCCACACUGGGACUGAGAUACGGCCCAGACUCCUACGGGAGGCAGCAGUGGGGAAUAUUGCACAAUGGGCGCAAGCCUGAUGCAGCGACGCCGCGUGAGGGAUGACGGCCUUCGGGUUGUAAACCUCUUUCAGCAGGGACGAAGCGCAAGUGACGGUACCUGCAGAAGAAGGACCGGCCAACUACGUGCCAGCAGCCGCGGUAAUACGUAGGGUCCGAGCGUUGUCCGGAAUUACUGGGCGUAAAGAGCUCGUAGGUGGUUUGUCGCGUUGUUCGUGAAAACUCACAGCUUAACUGUGGGCGUGCGGGCGAUACGGGCAGACUAGAGUACUGCAGGGGAGACUGGAAUUCCUGGUGUAGCGGUGGAAUGCGCAGAUAUCAGGAGGAACACCGGUGGCGAAGGCGGGUCUCUGGGCAGUAACUGACGCUGAGGAGCGAAAGCGUGGGGAGCGAACAGGAUUAGAUACCCUGGUAGUCCACGCCGUAAACGGUGGGUACUAGGUGUGGGUUUCCUUCCUUGGGAUCCGUGCCGUAGCUAACGCAUUAAGUACCCCGCCUGGGGAGUACGGCCGCAAGGCUAAAACUCAAAGGAAUUGACGGGGGCCCGCACAAGCGGCGGAGCAUGUGGAUUAAUUCGAUGCAACGCGAAGAACCUUACCUGGGUUUGACAUGCACAGGACGCGUCUAGAGAUAGGCGUUCCCUUGUGGCCUGUGUGCAGGUGGUGCAUGGCUGUCGUCAGCUCGUGUCGUGAGAUGUUGGGUUAAGUCCCGCAACGAGCGCAACCCUUGUCUCAUGUUGCCAGCACGUUAUGGUGGGGACUCGUGAGAGACUGCCGGGGUCAACUCGGAGGAAGGUGGGGAUGACGUCAAGUCAUCAUGCCCCUUAUGUCCAGGGCUUCACACAUGCUACAAUGGCCGGUACAAAGGGCUGCGAUGCCGUGAGGUGGAGCGAAUCCUUUCAAAGCCGGUCUCAGUUCGGAUCGGGGUCUGCAACUCGACCCCGUGAAGUCGGAGUCGCUAGUAAUCGCAGAUCAGCAACGCUGCGGUGAAUACGUUCCCGGGCCUUGUACACACCGCCCGUCACGUCAUGAAAGUCGGUAACACCGGAAGCCG
rnacentral:rRNA from 1 species